rnacentral:rRNA from 1 species
GACGAACCGUCCAAACGUUGUUCGGAAUCACUGGGCUUAAAGGGCGCGUAGGCGGGCUGCCAAGUCAGGGGUGAAAUCCCACGGCUCAACCGUGGAAGUGCCUCUGAUACUGGCGGCCUCGAGGGAGGUAGGGGCGUGCGGAACUUCCGGUGGAGCGGUGAAAUGCGUAGAUAUCGGAAGGAACACCGGUGGCGAAAGCGGCGCGCUGGACCUCUACUGACGCUGAGGCGCGAAAGCCAGGGGAGCAAACAGG